rnacentral:tRNA from 68 species
GGGGCCAUAGCUCAGCUGGGAGAGCGCCUGCCUUGCACGCAGGAGGUCGGCGGUUCGAUCCCGCCUGGCUCCACCA